rnacentral:lncRNA from 1 species
GCUUUCGUGAGAGAGAAGAGAGAGAAGAGAGAGAAGAGUAAAACUCAGACGGGGUUCGGUGGUCGGCCGGCGCGUGAGCGUCCGUGCCGCUGCCGGAGCUCUUGUUCUGUUCAGGAAAAAAUUCUACUGCUUCGAGUAUCAUCCGGGAGGCGGAGGCUCUCACAGAUCCGUCGCCGCCGGUCUUCUGUCGCCGCGGCGGGAAAGCUUUCUCAGUUUCGGCGUCAUCGGCUUUAGCUUCCGGGGGGUGAAGGCUUCCACAGCCUUGCGUCGCCGGCUUCGUCCCCUAGUAAUUAGGGUUAGGUUUUUAUCGUUUGUUUCCUUUUUUAUGGUUUUGUUUCUUGUUUUGGGUUUUUGAGUGUUCGUCGGAGGAGUGUGAAGUGCUCCGACGGAAAGGGUGUUGUUGCAUGCGCGGAUUUAUCUUGGGGUCGAAUUUUUUAACGGUGGUGGAUGAGAUCUCGCCACGGCGAUUGAUUCUCUCCGGCUUAAGAGUCCUUAAGAUGGUUCGAGGUAAAGAGUGUCGAAGCGUUGGAGUUGCGUGUUGGCCGGUAGAUCCGAUGUUUGGAUUGCCGGAGGCGUUUGAAAGCGGUUGGGGACGCGUUGGCCUCGGGACACGUGUACCCUCGUCGGUGAGGAUCUGCGAGGCGGCCGUCUCUUCUGUUUUUUGGAUUUCUAGGGUUUCUUGUUUUGGGCCGUUGGCCUUGGCCCAUUUGGAUUUUGGGGUUGCCCGUUCUUUGGUUUGUUGGACUAUAGUGUGAGCGUUUGUACUAGGUUGGCCCGUUUGUUAUUAAAUAAUACUGAACCUGACGGAAAAAAAAAAUUAGAAUAUGCGUUAUGGUUGUCUAACUAGAUUAGAAAACAAGCUUCACAUAAAGAUUGACUAAACUAAACAAGCAAAAAAAUAUCGUAAGAAACUACGGAAAGUAUUAAUAUAUAUCUUUAUCAGAAAACAGAAAAAAAAAAGUAAAGAAAGAGAG